UUACGGCCAUAUCACGUUAAAAUACAGGUUCUCGUACGAUCAGCGAUGUUAAGCAACGUCUAGCCUGGUCAGUACCAAAAUGGGUUAUCAUUUCGGAAUACCAGGUGUUGUAA